UGUCCCCCAAUCAAGUGUUCAAAGCUAAGAUUUAAAAGUGCAACAACGAGGUGAUACAACUCAAUCCGAUCAGACCCAGUUCUCCGCUAAGGGUGAAUUUCCUAAUGCAAUUCCCUUUACAAUCAUGUCUCAUUCCUUUUCAUAUUCUUUCACUAUUCGCAUCACGCUUUUCUUUUUUUUUUUUUUUUUUUUUGGGGUUAAGUUAUUUUCGCUCUUAAUAGAUGGGCCAUAAUUCACGAGAUUUCACUUUUGGAGGUUAUCCAAAAUGUUCUCGUGUGGUUUCCCAUGCUCAUAAUGAAAUCAUUAGAGGAGCAGAGACCCAGACUAUCAGAAGCUCAACAACCAACCAAACAUUUCACAACAGAGACAGAUAUUAGGAAAUUGCACUGAAAACACUCCCCUUAGCAUCUACCGGACAAAUCACGUCACGAGUUGCUCAUCAGGGUGUUGCACCAAAACCUUAAACUUAUUACACUUCCUAGGGAGCAAAUCAAUCAAGAAAAACGAGGACAACAAUCCAAACAGACACAAACCAGAAUCGCCAAUAAGUCACCAUCAAUCAUGUGAUGUACUUAAAAACAGGCAAGAAUAAAAGAGAAGGGGACCAUUCGCCCCAAGACAAGCUAAACAGGGCACCACCACCAAGCAUGCAACGAAUUGAAGAAGCAUCAAAAAGACCGCAUGCGGCACAACCAACAAUACAACCAAGACAGGACCAUACGACCCCCAAAACUCAUAAAUCACGCCCCUCCCCCACAGAGAAAAACAUGCACUGUCCUCAGGGCACAAAAAAGAGAAAGGUUAAGAACAUCCCUGGAUAGGAGUGCAGCCAACACGGCG
rnacentral:lncRNA from 1 species